ACCCACGAAGGAAGCGAAGACAACGAGAGAGAGGUAACGGGGCAUAGGCGGACGACACCGUUCGGGAAGAGAGAACGCAAGCGUUCUCCGCCACGAAGCGGACAACGAUGGCGUGGGCUCAUCCGAUCUUGUUCGAACAACGGACAAGCAGUCUGCCGAAGGCAACGAUUGCGCCCGGCAUCAUGCAUUCAGACAUCG
rnacentral:misc_RNA from 1 species